rnacentral:tRNA from 1 species
GGGGUGCUGGCGCAGUGGUAGCGCUCCUGAUUUUUACUCCUACUUGAUUGGAUUUUUUCAAUUCGAGAGGUGGUUGACUGGGGCUUAGUAGAUUAACGUCAGAUUGCCACGCACGUUUCUACUCGCAACAAAGCUUGUUUAACAAAGUAUGGCUUCAGACAAAAGGUCUCAAAGAAAACAGGGAAAUUUAGGAGGUCAUCGGUUCGAAUCCGGUGCACCCCG